AAAAAAAAACGCUGAUGGGAGCGCCGUUCGUUCCUUCGUUCGCAAGCAGCACUGUACACUUCCUUCUUUCCUUCAUUUUUUGAUUUCUUUUUCUCUCAAACACUGACUACAUUACUAUGUUUCUAAAAUCAAGUCAAACACCUCUCGCCAACGACGUAACGAUUCUUGGUGGUUGUUCCCGGCGCCGUCGCUCAUCUCUUCCAUCCUCCGCCGUCGCUCAUCUCUUCCAUCCUCCGCCGUCGCUCAUCUCUUCCAUCCUCCGCCGUCAGAUUUACCUCUACUCCUCUCCGUUCAAAUUCACACUAUCCUUUCCUUUUUUUUCUCUUUCUCUUUCUCCAUCGCAACACACUCAACUCUAGGUGUGGAUGGAACAUGAAGCCAGCAAUCAGCCCAAGCAAGAGCGAUCAAGGACAAGAUGGACUGGACAACAUCCUUUGAAAGCUAUUUGCAGACUUGGUUGUCAAGCAGAUUCAACUGGGAAACAGACCAAACAAUGUUUUUGACAAGAAAACAUGGAAUCAUAUUCGUGAUGAGUUUAAUAGGCAAACAGACCUUAGUUUCAACAACAAUAAAUUGAGGAAGCAUCUAGAUGUUCUUCGAACCCGUUUCUACAAUUUGAAAUCCGCUUAUGAUCAGAAUAAUGAUUUUGUAAUGGAUGAUUCCUGUUGCAUUGGUUUUGAGUAGUGGGAUGAUAUAGGGGUAAGUUCAAGUAAGUGUAUUUAAUAUCAAGGUGUACUCAGUGUGAGUUUUACAACUGUUUAUUUAAUAUGUGUAUUUAUAAUGUCAUCAUUUCUUAUAUUUCUA